GCUGCCCUGUGCAAAUGAGGUGUAGGAGGGGAAAUCACAGUGCAGUAAUGAGGGAAAGAAGAUCUAAGCUUACUUUUGGAUGAUGAAGCCUUGCUGGCUGGAGCCACACGUAUAGCCAGCAGAAGACAGGUGUACUCCACAGGAGAAGCAGAAUAAAUCUGAUUCUGAGCGGUAUCAUUAUCCCUUUGUAUCCACAGCACGCUCGACCGUGUGUUCGCUCGUGCAUCUGCUGUAUACCAAGGUCUUUGUACUCCAGCAAGCCUUGAGUUAUGUAAGCACUUGCAGGUCUACACCUAAUAGACCAUAUGUUGCAAACUGGCUCUGAAGUACCAAAAUAAGGAACAUGAAACAGAAAGCUGAACUGUAAUAGGAGUGAAGAAAUGCAUGGGACCUGUGGAAAUGAAAAGGAACAAAUCCUGCCUUAAGAUACACACUGUGAGUUCAUCCUAUGAAGUUCAAAAUAUCCGAAACUCCACUGUGUCAAAGAAGGGGAGAGACUCAUCUAAUGCAAGCAGUGCUUGACAACCCAAUGGGCUGCAUACAAGAUAAUAAUGUUUGCUGAUGAUACAGUCACAAAUGUAUUUCUCUUGCAACAGAGCACCAGCUUUGUGCAACAACAUACAACUACAUGAAUAACUGAGAAGUGGCUGCUGUUUAUGGAAAUCUUCUUACACCUUCUCCAGAAAGGAGCUUUCAGCAUACUUUCUGGGUAGUGUGUUCAGUUUGAAAUAGUUAAAUGUAAUCCACGUAUUUUUGACUCUGUAAAAAUGUGGAGAAUAUGUGUUUGUCAAGCUAUUGUUUCGGGCUCUAUGCAUACUUAAGUCUUCUCACAGUAACACCUGGCAUAAGACUGAAGAGCAGGAACCAACGGGACGGAAGCCACCACUGGCAGAAGAGAGAAAGAAGGAUGGAAGAAGUGGUCAGCAUUGUUAGAGAGGGGGCUCCAUAGCUGGAAGUAGUUGAGAGAAUAGCAGAAGCAGAGAAGGUUGCAGCUAAUAAGGUUGCUCAGGAAGCCAAAGCUAUUAAGACAUGUUGACAUAACAUUUGCGAGCUUCACGGGGGCCAUCGUUAUAAUUUAGAUUUAGUAUUGAUCAGUUCAGCAUCAGGGCUGGAGGAAAACUGAACACCGUGCUCUUUACAAAAGUGGCACUUCAGAUACUGCCUCCUUACUAACACAGAAAAGCAGAAAUCCCCCGUGCCCUGUCUGAUCUGUGGCUGCUGUCCUCUCCCUUGGGGCAGGCCGAAAGUUGCGGUCACUUGGGGUUGGUGUCAUCUUUGGAAAUUGCAGCUGCAGUCAUAGCAGGGACAUUUUUAAUGUGCCUGUGAAAUGGAAGCUCAGUGCAACACGUCUGCACAUGCUGGCAGCUCCCUGCUAAUGAGGCCUACUGGAGGUGUUGCAAGCGUAUCAUUUAGGAUGAAAACCGGCUGGCUGUGCCUUACAGGGCGUGCUGGGGAAGGGAUCUGGUGCUUUAACACAUGGUGAGAAAGCAGCUUGUGAGGCUCGUUGGAUCAAUGGGGAUCCCAGCCUUAUACCCUAAUUAUAUGCCCUCUCUUCUAACAUUUGCCUUUAACUGUGCAACACCCACACCUUCCUCUUUUUUCCUCUUUUCUCUAUUUAUUUCUCCCCUCCUUUUGUUCCAUCAGUGCAUUUUCAUGCCUUUCCACUAAGCACCACCAGAGCAGAAAAUACCUGAGGUUUACAGCAAAACCAAAGGUAAUUCACUCAGCAGAAAGUUUAUUUGUCCAAAAUGAUUGUUUCACUGUCCUCUGUAUCACUUGCCAGUGUUUAAAUUCCCAAAGAAAAUUGCUGCUGGCAGUUUGACAAGCGUGCAGGCACCGGGUGCUCUCGCCAUGCCAAACCCUGAAGGCAGGGGGAGAUGAUGGUGAUCAACCACAUCCCUCUCCAAGCCCCCAGCAGUCAAACAACCUUCCUGUGGUGCUGAGAUUGGUGAAGAUUUUUUCCCCGCCCGACUGACUUGAGGUCCAGAUCUCCAAAGUGAGUGCAGAAGGGGGAUGGUACUAUCUCCACUUGCUCCUUCCUAGUGCAAGACAAGAGUGGCAUUGUUCUGACUGUGAGCUCCACACCUUCUCCCUGAUGGGGGCUUUCUGAGUGGUUAUCCUUGGCCACUCACCACGCACAGUGUAAGUCUUGGUCCCUUUUCUAACACUGCCCAACACAGUUUAUUUGUGAAUCCCAGACAACAUGUCAGCUGCAUAGGGAUUGAAUUUCGUGCUCACGGUGUCCUCCUGAAUGUCCAGCCCUCCAUGGCUUGCUCUCCCCAGCUCUUCCCAACCCCAAGCAUGGCACAGAGCACCUCUGGCACUGAGCGGAUGUCCAUGGUGCCCCGGGCAGGAUCGGCAAUGGCCUUUCCUUACACCUCUCCCCUCACCCUUCUGGGCUGCUGGCUCCACACACACACAUCCCUUAAAACAUUUGGUGUCCAUUGGCAGACAGGGGCCACUGUUUGGCCUUAGGCAGCUGUGAGCUGCCACUGAGUCCCUGGAAACAGUUGCUGUUAAAACAGAGAAAUCCCUGACAUGAUGUCAGCAUUUAGUGAUUAAUACUCAGUGAAGUACAACCUCCCACUUCCCUUGCCAAUGAAGAGAGAAGAUCCAAGGACAGUGAGACCCAUCUGGGCUUAGCCCUGGUUCCUGGGGAGCUUUCCAGACCACUGCCACUGCCUUCCGCUCCUCCAACCUCUGCCUCCUGAAGAAAGCAUCUUCCCAGUGUCACUUCCAGCUCUUAGGUCUCUAGUGGGCACAGGAAAAUGAGAAAUGUCCUUCUGAAGACACAUAGAGUAAACCAGGAUUGUUCUGGGGACCUAUGGGGUGGCUCAAAAGUAAAUUAAAACUUUUAAUUAGGAAGGACUCAUUCUCUGCCAAUCCCUAAAGCACCAGGCUUCAAUGAACCUUCUGGGGUAUUCUUCCACACCCCUUGGCUUCAGAGACGUGCAGGGCAUGUGGCCAGCAUGCUGGCAGCCGUGGCUGGGAGCCAGGGAAGGGGCCAGCGGGGGAGCACCGUGUGGCCAUGUCCUUGAAAGAGCCCAAGCAGAGUAUGUCAGUCACCUCUGCUCUGCAUCUCUGCUCAAUGAAUUAUAGCUGUGUGGGGAAGCAGCAGAGAGGCAGGGGACCAAAGCCCGUGGAGGGAGAGGGGCUGCCAGCAUCCUCCCACCCUUGCAUUGUGGUGGCGUGAAUUGGGGUGCUCGAGUGCCCAGUCACAGAGAGGCUCUUUAAAUGAGACUAUUCAACCCUUUAUGUCUCAUCUCUUCACCCACAGUGCUCCAGCAAGGAGCAGAGACUGCCCAUAAAUUGCAGUUGAAAUCCAUAAUACCUCUGCACUAGACUGUCAUGAAAUGGUUACAGGUAAAAUAACGAGACAAAAAUGAAGUCUGAAGAAGGAUUUUUAUUGCUUUUCAAAGGUCUCUUGCAAGUUGCUUGCCUUUUAUUUCAAAGACAGUGCUGAAAAGUAUAGAGAAAGCGGGGGAAAUACAGCCCCCACAUCUGAAGUGGGGAAAAAACAAUACUUUAUUCACCACUCCUAUUUAUAAUGUAAUCUUUCCUACAUUUUGUUUCAGUACACUUUUUGUAACCAUUUCUCUACUGAUUUUCUGGAAGAUUAUGCUAAAUGUCAAAAUGUCUCUUUGGGCUCAUAAAAUGAUACCAUAAUAAAGCAUCAGUUCAACUUAGAAUGGGUAAAACAACCUAUAAAAUAAAAUGGAACAUUUUGACAUUAAUUGAGAAAGUUACCUGCUUUUUUUUUAGUUUCAGCAGAUUCAUGUCAGCAUUAAAGAAAAAAUAAAUUAGGUUACAGUUUAUUACAACAUGCGAUGACCUUUAAGUAAUUUUAUAGCACUUUAUGGUUCUGCUGCAGUCUUCUAAUCAGCAUUGUGUCUGAGGGAAAUGAUAAGCAGACUUUCUUAUUCAUCCAAAGUUCCAUUAAUUUGAAUCCCUACACACCAAGAAUUCCUGUUGCAGCCAGGUGAGUCAGCUUAUAGUACAGUUAUUUGAGCCGUGUAACGUCUUCCUGAUGCUUUUUUUUAUUUCACAUUUAUUAACUUUUGAGAGUUUCAGGCCUUUUUUUAUUGCCAACUAAAUGUGAGUAAAACCUAAAUUUGGCUACUACAGCAUUCAGACCUGUUCCUCUAACUUUGUACUCCAGUAAAUAGUUCUGCUAGAAAAUGCAUAAUUUUCCAUCAAAAGACUUACUUGUACUCGCUGCCAUUUAUAGAAUAAAUGUACCCUCAAGGUAAAUUUUUACUGGCAGUCUUGAUGCAUGUUUACAAAAUGCACAACACUACACAAGCACAUACACAGAAACACAUGCUAGGGUGGUGUUUCAAAAAGGCUAUAAAAUUAUUUUUAGAAAGUCUUUGCAGAAAGGCACCCUGCAAGUUUUUCAAAGUCAGUUUUUCUAUUUUUUUUUUAAAGAAGAGAAAAAUGCAUUAGCUAAAUGCUUCUAGCUGAAACUAAAAUGUCCAUGAUACAUUCCUUGAGUAUAAUAAAUUCACCCCUUCUGUUUUUCCUGUGAUGUAGGAAAUCUGUUUAUCAUGUGAUGUUAUAACUGUCUUAGAAUAUAAAAGAAGAUACACGAUUUAAAUUACAGAGGUCAGAAUUGAACAUUUUUGAGAGUUCAAUAAAAAGGAGAAGAAAAUGGUGGUGAGAAGCUGGAAAGCAAAGAAGCCAGCAACCAAAAAAUCAGUGAGGGACUGAUUCUGCUGCCUUCUUGGUAUGGGCUGGUCAUGGCUCCUAAGCCAGAGGAAACCUCAAUUCUCAACUGACUGCUUAGAUCACUUUUCCUCCCAGCAUAUAUCUGACCAUUUCUCUUCAUGUGUUAGAGCUGUUAUUAUAAAGCAUUGUCAUUUCCACUGUCAUACAACUAAGAGAACAUAUUUCUAAAGCUUAGCAGUAAGAAGAUGUAACAGUUUAGAUUCUAUUGUUGUCUUUAAUCUGCUGAAGCAUUUAAU